CACAGUGUGUUUUUGUACACCUCUGCCUUGUGGUUAUAACACUGUGUUUACUCACAGCACAGAAAUACAC